rnacentral:rRNA from 1 species
AUUGAACGCUGGCGGCAUGCCUUAAACAUGCAAGUCGGACGGUAACAGGUCUUCGGAUGCUGACGAGUGGCGAACGGGUGAGUAAUACAUCGGAACGUGCCCGAGAGUGGGGGAUAACGAGGCGAAAGCUUUGCUAAUACCGCAUGCGACUUCAGGAUGAAAGCAGGGACCGCAAGGCCUUGCGCUCACGGAGCGGCCGAUGGCAGAUUAGGUAGUUGGUGGGAUAAAAGCUUACCAAGCCGACGAUCUGUAGCUGGUCUGUGAGGACGACCAGCCACACUGGAACUGAGACACGGUCCAGACUCCUACGGGAGGCAGCAGUGGGGAAUUUUGGACAAUGGGCGCAAGCCUGAUCCAGCAAUGCCGCGUGCAGGGUGAGGGCCUUCGGGUUGUAAACUGCUUUUGUACGGAACGAAACGGCCCUUUCUAAUACAGGGGGCUAAUGACGGUACCGUAAGAAUAAGCACCGGCUAACUACGUGCCAGCCGCCGCAGUAACAC